CGCCAGACUCCUACGGGAGGCAGCAGUCGGGAAUAUUGCGCAAUGGAGGAAACUCUGACGCAGUGACGCCGCGUAUAGGAAGAAGGUUUUCGGAUUGUAAACUAUUGUCGUUAGGGAAGAAAAAAGACAGUACCUAAGGAGGAAGCUCCGGCUAACUACGUGCCAGCAGCCGCGGUAAUACGUAGGGAGCAAGCGUUAUCCGGAAUUAUUGGGUGUAAAGGGUGCGUAGACGGGAGUCUAAGUUAGUUGUGAAAUCCCUCGGCUCAACUGAGGAACUGCAACUAAAACUGGACAUCUUGAGUGCAGGAGAGGAAAGUGGAAUUCCUAGUGUAGCGGUGAAAUGCGUAGAUAUUAGGAGGAACACCAGUGGCGAAGGCGGCCUGCUGGACUGUGACUGACGUUGAGGCCCGAAGGCGUGGGGAGCAAACAGGAUUAGAUACCCUUGUAAA
rnacentral:rRNA from 1 species